CAGUAGCCACGGGAAUACAGAGGGUGCGAGCGUUAAUCGGAUUUACUGGGCGUAAAGCGUGCGUAGGCGGCUUUUUAAGUCGGAUGUGAAAUCCCUGAGCUUAACUUAGGAAUUGCAUUCGAUACUGGGAAGCUAGAGUAUGGGAGAGGAUGGUAGAAUUCCAGGUGUAGCAGUGAAAUGCGUAGAGAUGUGGAGGAAUACCGAUGGCGAAGGCAGCUCCCUGGGCCAAUACUGACGCUCAUGCACGAAAGCGUGGGGAGCAAACAGGAUUAGAUACCCCAGUAGUCCCUGUCUCUUAUAC
rnacentral:rRNA from 1 species